UGAUAGCAAUGAAGUGUAAGGUUGCUGCGUCAAUCGCAGGUUUUUUACACGGAGCGAAUGUCAAGUCGAGAUACUGACGACAA
rnacentral:ncRNA from 1 species